UGGUUAUGCCAGACUAAUAAAUCCCAGGU
rnacentral:piRNA from 1 species